UGUGUUUUUUAUUUUAUGUUUAUGUUUGUAUUCAUCUUUUGGGGAAAUAAAAUCAUGAUAGCAAAUCGGAGUUAAUUGGUUCAUUACAGGUUCAAUAGUUAAAAUUUAUUAUUUUUAAAAAUAACCGAGAAAAACAAAAAAAAAUUAAGGAAAAACUAAUUUUUACACAAAAUUUGGGCAUACUGGGUCUCUUUUAAAAUUAAAAGCCUUAGGACUACAAAAACUAUAUUUCCCUAGGCGCCCCAGAAAACCUUCUUCCGUCACUGUAAAUAAACAAAUUAGCAACAAUUUGACUAGAUCGUGCAGAAGUAUGCAGGAUUUCUGUAUUUAUAAAUUCAAAAAUAAAUAUUAUUAUCAUUUUAUUUAUCCCCCCUCGAUUAGCAACAGAUGAAGAAAUUAUCACAGUUGUCAUGAUCAGACAUGAUUGCUGGUAAUCAUCAAUCAAGUUGAGCCAGAUAAAGAUAGGGAUUACUGAUGAGCAUGAAGACAAUUUUGGAACUGUACCUACCCCUCAAUAUCCAAUGCUUAUGCAGCAUCAAUGACUUGAAAAAUUAUAUUACCUAAUACCUAUACAAAAUAUGAGAAUACUUCAGAAGAUGAAAGAACUAAAAGAGAAGAAAAACCAGACAAGUGCGAGUCGUGUUCCGUACCGUAAUCUAUAAACAUGUUGGCAACACUGCUUAUAUUAUAUAUUCUAAAAUUUUUAGUAUUUGUUGCUAUAGCGGCAACAGAAAUAUAUAAUCUGUGAAAAUUUCAAAUUUACAACUUUCAUGGGAUACAGCCUGGUGACAGACGGACAGACAGACAGCGGAGCCUUAGUAAUAGGGUCCAGUUUUACCUACGGAACCCUAAAAAUAAAUGGGGAUGGUGAGAUAUGGUUAAAAAAUAAUAUGUGUAGGGUGGCGUAGAACAUACAAUAUAAUAUAUAUCAUCUACAGUUAGAACUCACAAUAAUAUAAAAUGGAAGUUAACAUUUUAUUGGAAAAAUAAAGUGCAU